rnacentral:rRNA from 1 species
UACGGAGGGUGCAAGCGUUGCUCGGAAUCACUGGGCGUAAAGCGCACGUAGGCGGCCUGUUAAGUCGGGUGUGAAAUCCCUCGGCUCAACCGAGGAAGUGCAUUUGAAACUAGCAGGCUUGAGUAUGGAAGAGGGUCGUGGAAUUCCCGGUGUAGAGGUGAAAUUCGUAGAUAUCGGGAGGAACACCAGUGGCGAAGGCGGCGACCUGGGCCGAUACUGACGCUGAGGUGCGAAAGCGUGGGGAGCAAACAGG